GGGGUUGUGGCUCAGUGGUAGAGUGCUCACCUAGCAUGUGUGAGGCACUGGGAUCGAGCCUAAGCACUACA
rnacentral:tRNA from 1 species